UACGUAGGGUGCAAGCGUUGUCCGGAAUUAUUGGGCGUAAAGAGCUCGUAGGCGGUUUGUCGCGUCUGCUGUGAAAUCUUAGGGCUUAACCCUGAGCUUGCAGUGGGUACGGGCAGACUAGAGUGCGGUAGGGGAGACUGGAAUUCCUGGUGUAGCGGUGAAAUGCGCAGAUAUCAGGAGGAACACCGGUGGCGAAGGCGGGUCUCUGGGCCGUAACUGACGCUGAGGAGCGAAAGCUAGGGGAGCAAACGGG
rnacentral:rRNA from 1 species